GAUGAACGCUGGCGGCGUGCCUAAUACAUGCAAGUCGAGCGAACAGACGAGGAGCUUGCUCCUCUGACGUUAGCGGCGGACGGGUGAGUAACACGUGGAUAACCUACCUAUCAGACUGGGAUAACUUCGGGAAACCGGAGCUAAUACCGGAUAAUAUAUUGAACCGCAUGGUUCAAUAGUGAAAGACGGUUUUGCUGUCACUUAUAGAUGGAUCCGCGCCGCAUUAGCUAGUUGGUAAGGUAACGGCUUACCAAGGCGACGAUGCGUAGCCGACCUGAGAGGGUGAUCGGCCACACUGGAACUGAGACACGGUCCAGACUCCUACGGGAGGCAGCAGUAGGGAAUCUUCCGCAAUGGGCGAAAGCCUGACGGAGCAACGCCGCGUGAGUGAUGAAGGUCUUCGGAUCGUAAAACUCUGUUAUUAGGGAAGAACAAAUGUGUAAGUAACUAUGCACGUCUUGACGGUACCUAAUCAGAAAGCCACGGCUAACUGCGUG
rnacentral:rRNA from 1 species